AACGAACGCUGGCGGCAUGCCUAACACAUGCAAGUCGAACGAGACCUUCGGGUCUAGUGGCGCACGGGUGCGUACCGACGGGGAAGCUGCCCUUAGGUUCCGAAUAACUCCCCGAAAGGGGUGCUAAUAAAGGAUAAUGUCGUCGGACCAAGGAUUUAUCGCCUUUGGAUGGGCCCGCGUUGGAUUAGCUAGUUGGUAGGGUAAAAGCCUACCAAGGCGACGAUGCAUAGCUGGUCUGAGAGGAUGCUCAGCCACACUGGGAAUGAGACACGGCCCAGACUCCUACGGGAGGCAGCAGUAGGGAAUAUUGGACAAUGGGCGAAAGCCUGAUCCAGCCAUGCCGCGUGAGUGAUGAAGGCCUUAGGGUUGUAAAGCUCUUUUACCCGGGAUGAUAAUGACAGUACCGGGAGAAUAAGCUCCGGCUAACUCCGUG
rnacentral:rRNA from 1 species